UCUCAGACCAAGGAUCAAACCCGUGUCUCCUGCAUUGGCCCGUGGGUUCUUCACCACUGAGCCACCAGGAAAGCCCCAUUUUACUAUUUUUUAAAAUUUACUUUAUUGUGGUUGAUUUACAGUAAUUGUAUUGUAGUGUACAAUUGUACAGUUUGUGUUAAUUUGUUCAGUAUAGCAAAGUGACCCUUUUCAUAUAAUUUUCCAUUGUGGUUUAUCACAAGAUACUGAACCCAUUAAAAGUUCCUUGUGCUGUACAGUAGGACCUUGUUGUUUAUCCAUUCCCUAUACACCAGUUUGCAUGUACUAAUCCCGAACUCCCAAUCCUUCCCUCCCCAACUCACCCCCCCACACACCUUGGCAACAAGUCUGUUCCCCGUGUCUGAAUCUUUCGUAGAUAUGUUCAUUUGUGUUGUAUUUUAAUUUUCAUAACCUGUCUUUAAUCAAAUCAUGCAAAAAUAUAACCAGAGGUUUUUACUACAGUCCUUAUGUAUGUAAACUGUUCACCAAGGUGGCAAGAGAUGAGUUUUUCUUAAUACAAACUAUCUUAACUAGGAAUUUAAGCUAUUUCAGUGAGACUAUACUGACCACCGGAAUGACAAAAUUCAUGGACAUUUAAGGGAAGGUAGUACAGACUUUGAUGCCUAAAGGAUUUCAAGAACUCCUUUCUUUAAAAGGAGGGCUCCGAUCUUUCUUUUUCUUCCCCUUAUUUGGCUCCGUAAGAGAAAUCUGAACUAAACUCUAAUGAUCAAGUUAUGCCUUUAAUAACAGAAGAAAAACUGAGGCCAAAGCUAUCAAGUAAUUUACAUAAAGAGGGAGCCAAGUCAUCUAACAUAGGAGAAUCAAGUGGCUACAGCUUAAAGAAUGCAUGCCCCCCCCCAUCCUUUUUGCGAUUAGUUGCACCCAUCUUGAAAAAAUACCAUCUUUGCUUAUUAAGGAGCAAACAUAAAAAUUACUCAAGUUGACUCUUCUGCCUCCUUGUAAGAUGCACGUUUUUAACACGUACUUAAUUUUUUAAAUUUACUUUUAACUGGAGAAUGAUUGUUUUACAGUAUUGUGUUGGCUUCCAGUCAUAUUAACAUGUAUUUCAAAACCAUGAGGUGAAAAGUUAAAAAAGGCCAUAAAACAAGAAUCCAAUAUGCCAUUCUUUACACACGACAUCAGAACAUUCACUUAGAAUUUUUUUCUUACAACUGUGUUCCUGUGGAGAUACACUUGGUCUUACUCAUCUGUAUCUCCUGUAACCCCAAGUACGUAAGAUACAUAUUUACAUUUUAAAAGGAAGUACUUUUCAAAUGUAUUGUCCAGCGCCUGGACUUCUCCGACUAAAAGGCACAAUCUCUGAAACUGUUGUGGUUUCAGAACAGAAACAAAGUAUGUGGAAAACAGAUUCCUAGGGUACAAGGGCCAAUAUUUGGUCGCCAGGCACGCGAACCCUGGCAUUCGUCUCAGGGUUUCAGCUCUCCAUCGGUGUCCCCGGGGGUGUGACAAGCUCGGACACUUCCUAGGUGGCCCAGAUCGUCCAGGGCGGUCUGCAGCAGCCUUCGCAGACUCGGAAAGUCUCGGGAAAAGCCACGGGGCAGGCGGGCGGGCAUGCCUGGGACAGCAGGUCUGCCUUCUUGCACAGCAGCCGCCGAACCUGCUCCAUGAGCGCGCCUUUAUCCCUGCGCAGCGCGUGGUUCAGGCCCAGGACGUCCUGCAUCAGGACCGCCAGCGCCUCCAUCACCGCCCGCCAGUUCCCCCCGUGCCGCCGCGCCGCCGCCGGAAGUGCGUGUCGCUCGGGGGCGGGUCACGGCGGCGGCGCGUCUGGCCUCCGCGGUCCAGGCCGGGCCAAGGCCCGAGCAAGCGCCCGUGGGCAGGGUCGCCAGCAUUAUUGGCCGCAGAAGCGGCGAGCCGAGAGUCCUGGCGCCGGAGGGCGGCGGGGAAGAGAGGAAACAUAGGGUAACUGGCGGCCGAAACGCGGGACCUGACGCCGCGCUCGGCGGAGGAAUCUGACUUCGUGGCAGCGUGCAGCGACUUCCGGGGGGCUCCCUCCGCGGGCAGGUGCUUAAAGGGGAAGCCGCGCAUCCGUGGGAGGCUGCGGGUUCGCCGGCCCCUGCCGAGAUAUCCUCAGGAGACAGUCUUCCUGCCUCCUGGAAUGAAUGCGCUUUGCUUUGAUGUGGGCGCCAUACUAAGGGAAGUCAUCACUUCUUUGUUUUAGCGACAGAGCCUCCCUGAGUCAAAAGCUGGGCACAUGGCUAUCUGGUUGGUGACUGGAUUUGUGGUCUUCUGUGUGGUGAGAAGCCUGGAAGUGAGCCUGACGAGGCAAAGCUGCAGACCGCCAGCAGACGGAUCGUGCAGAAUGCCAUCCUGCGGGCCGUGCAGCAGGUCUCCCGGGAGAGCCAGAGCCGGAGGAGGGACGCCAGGGCCG